rnacentral:rRNA from 1 species
CUUUGAAACACCGAUUCUCGUACGAUCACUGAAGUUAAGCUACGUCGAGCCUAGUUAAUACCUAGAUAGGUGACCGCUUGAGAAUACCAAGUGCUGUAA